rnacentral:tRNA from 1 species
GUCAGGAUGGCCGAGUGGUCUAAGGUACUAGACUCAAGUUCAGGUCCUUGUAAAAGGGCGUGGGUUCAAAUCCCACUUCUGACA